UUCAAUUGAAACAUUUCCUCAAAAGGAUAAUUAUGAAAGUUGAAAAGGACAAUUAAGAAAUAAUGAUUGUUUCUGAUACGUUUAUAGUUUUAUUCGUUGUUGCAAAUGACAAAUCAAUAAAUUGGUCUAAGAGCACCAUUAACCCUAAAACUCCAUUCGGGGUUCUUAUAUUUUUAUUUUUAUUUUUAUUUUAUUUUUAUUUUUUUUAAAAUUAAAAUUAAAAACGAACCAAUUGCGGACCGCUACGUGUCAGUGAGGUUCGCGAACAGUACAAGAACCCUACUAAACUCACCUCUUACAGAAGAGAAGGAAGAAGUGGUUUUUAACAAAAUUGUGAGAUCUAAUUCUUAAGAACCCACUUAAAAAGUGGGUAUAAUCAUGUUCUAAAAUCUAUUGGACUACAAGUGCCUAUUCUUUU
rnacentral:lncRNA from 1 species